AAAUGAAUUGACGGGGGCCCGCACAAGCAGCGGAGCAUGUGGUUUAAUUCGAAGCAACGCGAAGAACCUUACCAGGUCUUGACAUCCAGUAAAGCCUGUAGAGAUACAGAGUGCCUUCGGGCAUACUGAGACAGGUGGUGCAUGGUUGUCGUCAGCUCGUGUCGUGAGAUGUUGGGUUAAGUCCCGCAACGAGCGCAACCCUUGUUUUUAGUUACUAACAGAUAAUGCUGAGGACUCUAAAGAGACUGCCGGGGACAACUCGGAGGAAGGUGGGGACGACGUCAAAUCAUCAUGCCCCUUAUGACCUGGGCUACACACGUGCUACAAUGGCCACUACAGAGAGGUGCGAAAUCGCAAGGUAGAGCAGAUCUCAAAAAAGUGGUCCCAGUUCGGAUUGUGGGCUGCAACCCGCCCACAUGAAGUCGGAGUUGCUAGUAAUCGCGGAUCAGCAUGCCGCGGUGAAUACGUUCCCGGGCCUUGUACACACCGCCCGU
rnacentral:rRNA from 1 species